rnacentral:tRNA from 1 species
GCGGGCGCUGGCCGGGAGGACGGGCGAUGAGCGCUCCCGAGGGCGGCGCCGCCGCCGCCGGCGUUCGUUUCGCCCGCGCCAGCG